UACAGAGGGUGCGAGCGUUGUCCGGAAUCACUGGGCGUAAAGCGUGCGUAGGCGGUUGUCUAAGUUUGGUGUGAAAUCUCCUGGCUUAACUGGGAGGGUGCGCCGAAAACUGGGUGACUGGAGUGUCGGAGAGGUAAGCGGAAUUCCUGGUGUAGCGGUGAAAUGCGUAGAGAUCAGGAGGAACACCUGUGGUGUAGACAGCUUACUGGACGAUAACUGACGCUGAGGCACGAAAGCGUGGGUAACAAACAGG
rnacentral:rRNA from 1 species